GAUCUGGUAGCUCAGUUGGAAGAGCGCUCAACAUCCAGUUGAGAGGCCGUGCGUUCGAAUCGUACCCAGUUCA
rnacentral:tRNA from 1 species